rnacentral:lncRNA from 1 species
ACACUAGUAAAUGGGUUUUUGUUAAACAAUUGAAGGAAGUGAAGACAUGGACCGGCUAAUAACGACAGUGCCAGGCAUGGAAACUUAUCUUCGAUGUCGAGAUCUUCCUACCUUUUGUCGAAAACUUGACAUUGAAGAUUCAAUUAUGAAGCUAAUCGUAAAACAGACAAGAAAGAGCCUUCAAGCCGAUGCCUUGAUACUCAACACCGCCGAAGAGCUCGAUGGGCCUAUACUGUCUCAAAUACGCACCAAAUGCUCUCGUGUCUAUGCCGUUGGACCCUUACAUGCUCAAUUAAACACUAGACUCAAUGCAAAACAUGGAGAGUCAUAUGAUCACAUAUCGAAUACACUUUGGGAAGUGGAUAAAAGCUGCAUCUUUUGGCUCAAUAAGCAACCGAAUCGAUCUGUUAUCUAUGUAAGUUUUGGUAGCAUUGCGAGCAUGUCAAGGGAGCAACUUGUUGAGCUUUGGUAUGGACUUCUUAACAGUAAAACGAAGUUCUUGCUUGUUGUAAGGCCAAAUUCCGUGAUUGGAAAAGAUGGUGAAGGGGAGGAUGUUGUAAUGGAGCUUAUGGAGAAGAGUAAGGAUCGAGGUUACAUUGUAAAUUGGGCACCACAAGAGGCAGUCUUGAACCACCCGGCCAUUGGCGGGUUCUUUACGCAUAAUGGAUGGAACUCGACUUUAGAGAGCGUUGUCGCAGGGGUGCCUAUGAUUUGCUGGCCUCAGUUUGCUGACCAACACGUGAAUAGUAGGGUUGUGAGUGUGGUGUGGAAAAUAGGGUUGGAUAUGAAGGAUGUAUGUGAUAGAAAGAUAGUGGAGAAAAUGGUAAAUGAUGUGAUGGUGGAUCGAAAGGAGGAGUUUGCAAAAUCCGCAUCUGAAAUGGCUAAGGUAACCAAUCAAAGUGUUAAUGUUGGUGGGUCUUCUUAUAGUAAUUUGGACUGUUUAGUUGAAGAUAUUAGAAUAAUGAGCUGGAAAAAACUCACAAAAUGAGCUUUGAACCACCCAGCCGUUGGCGGGUUCUCUUCAUUUUAAAUUUUUUUAUUGCAAUAUCUCUUUAAACAAAGUAAUUGAAUAGCAGUAAAACUUUUCAAAAUAUCCUUACAUGAUUGAAUAUCUUGAUCAAUUACAAUCACCAAUUUUUUUUAUUAUUAACCUUAAAAAGAUGUACAACAAUAGUUACUUAAAUCCUAUCAAAAUAUGCCAAUAAAAUAGGUAAAUUACAAACAACUCAAUUGCAAAUUGAGUUGUGACUAACUGAGUAAUUGACAAAUGAUGUAAGCCCCAAGACCCAAGAACCAGUUUCAGACUAAUGGAUGUGAUGAGAUCACAUUAUCUCAAAGCUCAACAAUAGUGUCAACAGCCAAACAAAUCAAAUCAAGAUUCAAUUAAAGACAAUAUUCGAGUAAGAAUUUUUUUCGAGGAAAGGGGGAUGAUAUAUGUACAGAUGGGAUGAAAUUUAUUAAAUUUCAUUCACCAAAGCUGUCAACUUUCAAGUUUAGGAAAUCAACAUACUUGCAACGCCUUUUUUGAUGCGAUCCAGGCAUAUCUAGGUUGAGAUUCUUCAUGGCGUUCGAAAUUUAUCUAUUUUGGAUUUGAUUGCAUUUCAGAUUAUGUCAAAAUCUAAGUUUCUUUCCUAACGUCUAGAACCUUAAGUCUAAUUCGCGACUUAAACAAACUUUACGAUACACUUCCAUAUUCAUCCGCCUCAACCUUUAUCAAUGACACUAACAUUCUCACCCUUUGACACUAACAACUAGAGUAUUAUCUUCAUAAAAUGAGCUAACAUAAAGAAGUAACAAGUAUCAAACAUUAUGAAUAAAUACUUAACAGUAAUAAGCAUGCAAAAGGAGAAGUCCCCUUCGAUGGUAGCAUCAAUACAUCCCCCCAAUAAACACAAUAGAACGGGAGCGGGCUUUUAUUUCUUUUCUUAAAAUGUGAAUGCAUGGUUUUUUUUUUUUUGCAUUAUAGGUAUGAAGUGGUUUUAAUAAUUAUUUUUUUUGCUCCACCCUACUCAUUAUAUAAAGUUAUUAUUUUACCCUACAUAUUUGUUGAUACAACAUACAACAAGGGAGGAAGAUAAGGAGGAGGUCAAGAUGGUGUAAUGGAGGCCAAUUCACCUAAAGAGGUUGAGAGUCGAAACAAGAACAAAAUGACAGACUAACCAAGAAGACAAUUGCUCAGUAACUCUAGAGUGCUAAUAAAAAGGAUCUUUUUGCAUCAUUCCUUAGAAUAUUUUUCUCUUGCCCACUGAUAUGACAUGGCUAGAUAAACAUUCAAUCCCACAAAAUAUGUAAAGGAUAUUUAUAGGCGUAUAUCAUGGGACCUGGGGCCUUAUCAGUAUGAGAUUAUUGUGCCUAAAUGGACUCCUUAUCAUAUAAAGAGUGCAUUCAUACUAAGAGAAUGUUAAUUCUUAAAACGGGUGAAUGGUUCCAUCUAAGAGGAACGAGUGGUCUAUUGAAGCGUUACUUCAAAUGAAGUCAACAAGAGGUCUAUGAUGCAUCUGAUAUUGACACGUGUCCGAGUGACGGAGGGGUAUAGCAAGAUUAAAAGAGUGAAAAUAUAAAUAUAUGUUUGAGCCUUGAAUUACAUAGUUAAGACUUAGUGGUUUCUGGCAAUGUUUUCAUAAUCGAACCUGUGAUCAAACCGAUCAGACCACCAAUUUGUAAUUUAUUUGAUUCAAUCGAUUAAAUCAAUUGAUUCAAUAAAAAAUAAAUUAUAAAUAUAAAAUUCAAUUAUUUAUAAAUUUUGAAAUCUCAUUAUUAAAGUUUUGUAAUUCCACUUUAAGAUUGUAUAUAGCCUAUUGAUUAAAAAUUUAUAAAUCCACCUUUAAAGAAUUUAAAAGUUCCUUGCGAAUAUGCAACUCAUCUCUUUUACUUUUUAGACUUAUAAAUUUCUCUUCCACUUUCUUUUUGUCAUUCCCUUUUCUCAUUUGUUCUAACUAUUCCGUAAAAAUCGGUUUUUUUCUAUUCAUUGCUUCUUCUCAAAUACCCAAAUCUCUUUCGUAUCAUUCCAAAUCUCAUGUUUUGCUUUUUCUUUCUUUGCAUAAAUAAAAUAUUAUUCUAAUCGAUUUUUUAUUCAAGUUUCUAAACCCUAUUUAAUUGAGUUUUAAUUGGUUCAUAAUGUUAGAUUUGUUGAAAGGUCAACAAAGGUAGGAAGCAACUUGUUAAAAAGGUUGAGCAAGUUGCACCGAAUGUUGAAAAGUUGAAUGGGAUAAUUGCAAUUUUGGUCCCUAAUUUUUUAGGCCAUUUGCAAGUUAGUCCCUGAACUUCAACUAUAAAUAGGCCUUUUCAUUUUUCAUUUCAACGAUCCCAACCAAUCUUUCUCUCUUAGUUUUCUCUCUUCUCCCAUUUGAGAAUUCUUAAGGAAUUCUAUUUGUUUGUAAUAUUUUGGAGAUAGUAAAGUUAUCAUCUGGUGUUAGUGCCCGAGGACGUAGGUAUAAUUUACCGAACCUCGUUAAAACUCUUGUGUUCUUUUUUUUCCUAUUUUUCUUUCAAUAUUUGAGGGUAUAAUAGUAGUAUUUAAUUGUGCUAUUAAAUUACUAUAGAAGGGAUAUUCUGACUAAGGAAAGACUUGGUAUUUAAGAGAUCAUUGUGAUCCACCUCUCUUCCUUGGGAAUUGAACUUUGUGUGAUUUUUUAGUACGAUAAUUUACACGCUUCCGACCCUAUUGGAACAACAAGUGGUAUCAGAGCCGAAGGUUAAUCGUAGUAUGCUCUGUGGUUGCAGUUUAAACUGAUCUUCCACAUCAGAAAAGUUUUCCUUAGGUAUAUUGAAAGAUUAUGGAGAAAACGGUCGGUGUAGGAGCUUCAACAUCGUCCAUGUGGACAAGACCGACAAUUGCAAAUGCAAGAUUGGCCGUGGAGAUCUUUGAUGGCACGGGCCAUUUUGGUAUGUGGCAAAGUGAGGUUCUAGAUGCCCUUUUUCAGCAGGGUCUAGACAUUGCCAUUGAUGAAGAGAAACCAGAUGAUGUACAGGAGAAAGAUUGGAAGGCGAUCAAUCGGUUGGCAUGUGGCACAAUUCGAUCAUGCCUUUCUCGAGAGCAGAGGUAUGCUUUUUCAAAGGAGACUUCUGCAAAUAAGUUGUGGGUGGCACUUGAAGAAAAAUUUUUGAAGAAAAACAGUCAAAAUAAGCUCCACUUGAAGAAAAGACUGUUUCGCUUCACAUACGUCCCAAGUACCACAAUGAAUUAUCACAUCACCAAAUUUAAUCAGUUAGUCACUGAUUUGCUGAAUAUGGAUGAGACAUUCAAAGAUGAAGAUUUGGCUUUGAUGCUGUUGGGGUCACUUCCUGAGGAGUUUGAGUUCCUAGAAACUACUCUACUUCAUGGCAGGAGUGAUAUAUCUCUGAGCGAAGUCUGUGCGGCCUUAUACAGUUAUGAACAGAGAAAGAAGGACAAACAGAAAAACUCAAUCAGAGAUACAGAAGCUUUAGUAGUCCGAGGUCGUUCAUACACUCGGAAGAAAACUCAAAAGGGGAGAUCAAAGUCAAAGUCCAGACUCGGGAAAGAUGAAUGUGCUUUUUGUCAUGAGAAAGGCCACUGGAAGAAAAAUUGUCCAAAGCUGAAGAAUAAGGGAAAAGCUGCUGUAGAUGCUUGUGUUGCUAAGCAUGAUACUAGUGACUCUGAACUAUCACUGGUUGCAUCAUCAUCGUCGUUCCAUUCAGAUGAGUGGAUAUUAGAUUCGGGUUGUACCUAUCAUAUGUCCCCUAACCGGGAGUGGUUCUCUGAUUUAGUAGAACUAAAUGGAGGAGUUGUUUAUAUGGGCAAUGACAAUGCCUGUAAAACUGUUGGGAUAGGUUCAAUCCAAUUAAAGAAUAAAGAUGGAUCAACCAGAGUUCUGACUGAUGUUCGGUACGUGCCCAGUUUGAAGAAAAAUCUCAUCUCAUUGGGAGCCUUGGAAUCCAAUGGUUCAGUUGUUACUAUGAGAGAUGGGGUUUUGAAAGUGACAUCUGGCGCACUUGUGAUAUUGAAGGGCAUCAGGAAAAAUAACUUGUAUUACUACCAAGGUAGUACAGUUAUUGGAGCAGUCGCUGCAGCUUCCGGUAACAAAGACUUGGACUCAAUGCAGUUGUGGCAUAUGAAGUUGGGACAUGCCAGCGAAAAAUCCUUGCAAAUUCUGGCAAAGCAAGGAUUGUUGAAAGGUGCAAAGGCUUGCAAAUUAAAAUUUUGUGAGCAUUGUGUUCUGGGAAAGCAAAAGAGAGUGAAAUUCGGCACUGCUAUCCAUAAUACAAAAGGUAUUUUGGAAUAUAUUCACUCAGAUGUGUGGGGGCCUUCCAAAACACCUUCGUUGGGAGGAAAACACUACUUUGUUACUUUUGUUGAUGACUUUUCCAGAAGAGUUUGGGUGUAUACCAUGAAAACUAAAGAUGAAAUGCUUGGAGUUUUUCUUAAAUGGAAAACUAUGAUCGAAAACCAGACUGGCAAGAAAAUCAAGCGGCUUAGGACGGACAAUGGAGGGGAAUAUAAAAGUGAUCCGUUCUUCGAUGUGUGCCAAGAGUAUGGUAUUGUUCGACACUUCAUAGUUAGGGAUACACCACAACAGAAUGGAGUGGCAGAGCGUAUGAAUCGAACAUUGCUGGAGAAAGUUCGAUGUAUGUUGUCCAAUGCUGGGUUGGGCAAGCAAUUUUGGGCUGAGGCUGUGACAUACGCUGGCCAUCUUGUUAAUCGUUUGCCAUCAUCUGCAUUAGAAAGAAAAACUCCUAUGGAGGUAUGGUCUGGAAAACCGGCUACAGAUUAUGAUUCCUUACAUGUGUUUGGAACCACUGCAUAUUACCAUGUGAAGGAGUCAAAGUUAGAUCCGAGGGCAAAGAAAGCUCUCUUUAUGGGAAUCACUUCUGGAGUGAAGGGAUUUCGUCUUUGGUGCUUAAGCACAAAAAAAUGAUCUAUAGCAGAGAUGUUACCUUUGAUGAAUCUGCCACAUUGAAAAAGGUAGCAGAUAAAGAUAUUCAGACGAGCAAUACUCCACAGCAGGUGGAGUGUACUCCAAAACAGGUGGAGUUUGAGCAGAUGGGGAUUUGCCCAGUUAAUAAGUCUAAUUCUCCAGCCACAAUGGAGGAAUUAGAGGUUGAAGAGGUUCUGACCCAAGAACCACUAAGUACACCAGAACCAGUUGCAGUUGCAAGGCCACGGAGAGAAAUUCGUAAACCUGCUCGAUUUACUGAUAUGGUGGCCUACGCCCUUCCCGUUGUUGAUGAUAUUCCUAUCACUUAUCAAGAAGCAAUGCAAAGCUUAGAAAGUGAUAAAUGGAAAAGCGCCAUGGAUGAAGAAAUGCAGUCUCUCCUGAAGAACAAUACUUGGGAGUUGGCGCAAUUACCGAAAGGUAAAAGGGCAAUCGGAUGCAAGUGGGUAUUCGCAAAGAAAGAUGGAUCUCCUAGCAAGAAGGAUAUUCGCUACAAGGCAAGAUUGGUAGCUAAAGGCUACGCUCAGAAGGAGGGAAUUGACUACAAUGAUGUAUUUUCCCCUGUUGUGAAGCAUUCCUCCAUUAGAAUUUUGUUGGCCUUGGUAGCACAGUUGAAUUUGGAGCUAGCUCAACUUGAUGUUAAAACGGCUUUCUUGCAUGGUGAGUUAGAAGAGGAGAUCUAUAUGACUCAGCCAGAAGGAUACACAGAUGCUGGUGGUAGAAAUUGGGUUUGUAAGCUUAACAAAUCGCUAUAUGGAUUGAAGCAAUCCCCGAGGCACUGGUACAAGCGAUUUGAUAGCUUUAUGAGAAGGGAGAAGUACACAAGAAGCAAAUAUGACAAUUGUGUAUAUUUGCAGAAGCUGCAUGACGGAUCUUUCAUUUAUCUACUCUUGUAUGUUGAUGAUAUGUUAAUCGCUUCGAAUAGCCAAAAUGAGAUAGAUAAACUGAAGGCUCAGUUGAAUCAAGAGUUCGAGAUGAAAGAUCUAGGUGAGGCCAAGAAGAUUCUCGGCAUGGAGAUAAGUAGAGAUAGACAGAGAGGCAAGCUUUGUUUGAAUCAGAAGCAAUAUCUGAAAAAGGUAUUACAAUGUUUUGGUGUAAAUGAAAACACAAAACAUGUAAGUACCCCACUUGCUUCUCAUUUGAAACUUAGUGCUCAAUUAUCUCCGAAAACUGAAGAAGAAAGAGAAUAUAUGGCAAAAGUCCCAUAUGCUAAUGCAGUUGGGAGUUUGAUGUAUGCGAUGGUGUGUACGAGGCCUGACAUUUCACAAGCUGUUGGAGUUGUGAGCAGGUAUAUGCAUGAUCCUGGAAAAGGACAUUGGCAAGCUGUGAAAUGGAUUCUACGGUAUCUUCGAAAAACCGUAGAUGUUGGUUUAAUUUUUGAACAGGAUGAAGCACUUGGUCAGUUUGUAGUUGGAUAUGUUGAUUCCGACUUUGCUGGUGAUUUAGAUAAACGUCGUUCAACUACGGGGUAUCUGUUUACUCUUGCGAAAGCCCCAGUGAGUUGGAAGUCUACCUUACAGUCUACAGUAGCUGUGUCUACUACAGAGGCAGAAUAUAUGGCAGUUACAGAAGCUGUUAAGGAGGCUAUUUGGCUUAAUGGAUUGUUGAAAGACUUAGGAGUUGUUCAAAGUCACAUAAGUUUAUAUUGUGACAGUCAGAGCGCUAUUCAUUUAGCGAAAAAUCAAGUCUAUCAUUCAAGAACCAAGCAUAUCGACGUAAGAUAUCACUUUGUGCGGGAAGUCUUUGAAAAAAGGAAAAAUUCUACUUCAGAAGAUUCCGACAGCAGAUAAUCCCGCAGAUAUGAUGACCAAGGUGGUAACAACAAUCAAGUUUAAUCAUUGUUUGAACUUGAUUAACAUCCUGAGAAUUUGAGCACCUUUAGGUGUAUGGCGCUCGAGAGCGCAUUUGGAGGCACUACAAAAGAUAACUUUAUCGAAUUUGGGGAGUUGAAGGAAGUGUGUGAAGAUGUGAUUAUCCUAAUCAAAUCUUCAAGGUGGAGAUUGUUGAAAGGUCAACAAAGGUAGGAAGCAACUUGUUAAAAAGGUUGAGCAAGUUGCACCGAAUGUUGAAAAGUUGAAUGGGAUAAUUGCAAUUUUGGUCCCUAAUUUUUUAGGCCAUUUGCAAGUUAGUCCCUGAACUUCAACUAUAAAUAGGCCUUUUCAUUUUUCAUUUCAACGAUCCCAACCAAUCUUUCUCUCUUAGUUUUCUCUCUUCUCCCAUUUGAGAAUUCUUAAGGAAUUCUAUUUGUUUGUAAUAUUUUGGAGAUAGUAAAGUUAUCAUCUGGUGUUAGUGCCCGAGGACGUAGGUAUAAUUUACCGAACCUCGUUAAAACUCUUGUGUUCUUUUUUUUCCUAUUUUUCUUUCAAUAUUUGAGGGUAUAAUAGUAGUAUUUAAUUGUGCUAUUAAAUUACUAUAGAAGGGAUAUUCUGACUAAGGAAAGACUUGGUAUUUAAGAGAUCAUUGUGAUCCACCUCUCUUCCUUGGGAAUUGAACUUUGUGUGAUUUUUUAGUACGAUAAUUUACACGCUUCCGACCCUAUUGGAACAACAAGAUUCUAUAUCAAACAUAAAAUCUUGAAUACUGUUAGAUUCUAUAUCAAAGAUAAAAUCUUGAAUACAAAGAAGAAAACAAUACAACUCAAAAACCUAUCUUUCUAGGUGCAUAAUGAUGAACUAUAUAAAUGAAGCCGAUAACUGUAUAUAACUGCUAACAGUUAUUAGCUACUAACAGCAGCAACAAUCUUCUAACAGUUACAACUGAAAGCAACAGACUUUAACAGACUGAAGUUAAUGCGACUUUAACAGACUGAAGUUAAUGCUUAACUCAGUUACACUCUAACAUUCUCCUCAUUUUCUUUUUUUCUUGAAAAUUCGAGAGCCUCAUUGAGCGUGACAACUCGAAGUGCUUUGCGAAAAACCUCAAACUGCUUGGGUGUAAUUGGUUUUGUAAGAACAUCUGCAAUUUGUCCCGAUGAUGGAACAAAAUUUACUUGCAAAUCUCCGGUGAGGAUCUUCUCCCGAAUAAAAUGGUGGUCAAUUUCUACAUGUUUCAUUCGUGCAUGGUGGGUGGGGUUUGCGGCUAUUGCAACUGUUGACGUAUUAUCGCACCAGACUACAGGUAUCGUCUGUGACACACCAAUCUCAUCAACUAAUUGUUUAACCCACAAGAGCUCGGACACACAGUUGGCGAGACUUCUGUAUUCUGCUUCCGAGGAUGAUCUGGACACCACACUUUGUUUCUUAGAACACCAUGCAACAGGGUUUGACCCAAGAUAUACGACAUAGCCAGUGGUGGACCGUCGAUCUUCAACAGAUGAAGCCCAGUCUGCAUCUGAGUACCCAACGACCGCAAUAUUUCCUUUUGUGAAAAACAACCCAUGAUCACUGGUUCCAAUAAGAUAUCGUAACACACGUUUGACUGCCCUCCAAUGAGUCUCACUUGGGCAAUUCAUAUACUGGCUCAACUUGUUAACACAAAAGGACAGUUCUGGUCGAGUGAUGCACAGAUAUUGGAGCAUCCCUACUACACUUCGAUAUAAGGGAGCCUCAAAAAACACAGGACUGCCAUCUGAUAUAGUUAGCUUUGGAGUACCUACCAUAGGUGUAGGAACAGUUGCAGCUCCUAUCAUACCAGUUUUGGUGAGGAUUUCUAACACGUAUUUUUUCUGAUUAAGUAGCAUCCCAUUCGGCACACGCUUGACUUCAAUACCUAAGAAAAAAUUCAACUGUCCCAUGUCCUUUAGAGCAAAACGACUAUGAAGCUGUCGAACUAUACUGUCCACUUCUAUAUCCAAACUACUCGUAAUCACAAUAUCAUCUACAUACACGAUAAGCAGUAUCACACUUCCUGAUGAUGAGCGAAUAAACAAAGAAGUAUCAGCCUUGGAAGUUUUAAAGCCAAGAUGAGUAACUAAAUACUGUUUAAGUGUAUGAAACCAUGCUCUGGGAGCUUAACGCAAGCCAUAAAGAGCCUUGUUUAGCCUGCAUACAAGCUGCUGUCCAUUUUCACCAGACAUCUCAAAGCCAGGUGGCUGCUCCAUAUAGAUCUCUUCUGUCAAGUCACCGUUCAGAAAAGCAUUAUUGACAUCUACCUGCCUUAACGUCCAUCCUCUCAUAACCGCAACAGCAAGAAUGACUCGGAUGGUUGUGGCUCGGACCACUGGGCUAAACGUGUCACAAAAAUCAACUUCAGUAUUCUGAGAGAAACCUUUUGCCACUAACCGAGCUUUAUACCUGUCUACAGUUCCAUCAGCUUUUUUCUUUACCUUGAACAACCAUUUGCAACCCACAGCACGACGAUUAUCAGGAAUAGGGCACAAAGUCCAGGUUUUGUUGUUAUGAAGUGCCUGGAGCUCGUUGUGAACUGCGACCUGCCAAUGUUCACUCUUCAUUGCUUCAUGGAUGUCCACAGGUGUAUCACUUGAUGAACAGACUGUUGUGGCUAGGUAAGCUUUAGGUUUAAAUAUACCUGCUUUACUACGUGUGACCAUGGUAUGAGUAUUGGGUUGAGUAAUGGCUUGAACAGCAACAGGUGAAUUACAUCUAGACGAUGAACCUUGUAAGGAAGCUCCAGGUGUACAAGGGACAGAUGGGAUGGGUGUAGACUCUAGAGAAUGAUAUGAUGGGUUAGGUAGAGUAGGAGCUGUAGAGUUAGAAACAAUAUGAGUGGUAUGAGUUGUGGUUGAUGAGACACGUGAUGAAGAACGUGGGAGUAUGACAAGCAACUUGGAGCUAGGUUUUAAUGAGUCUAUGGUGGUGGGGUCAGGCUUGUGAGGUGUGUUUUUAAAAGGAAAUGUAGUCUCACAAAAAGACACAUGUCGAGACACAUACACUUUGCCAUUAGCAUCUUGACACCUAAACCCUUUAUGGAGAGGAGAAUAACCUAAGAAUGUGCAGGGACUGGAACGAAAUUGUAGUUUAUGACUGUUGUAUGGCCGAAGAUUUGGAAAGCAUAAGCACCCAAAAACUCGAAGGAAGGAAUAGUCUGGCAUAACCUGAAACAGUUUUUCAUAAGGUGACACAUUACCUAGAGGUGAGGAAGGUAGUCUGUUUAUCAAGUAUACAGAACUGGUAAAAGCAUCAUUCCAGUAGGAUAAUGGCAUAGCAGCAUGGGCUAACAUGGACAAACCAACUUCAACAAUCUGUCUAUGUUUUCUUUCAACUAACCCGUUUUGUUUCGAGCUAUAAGGACAUGAUACUCUCUGCUGAAUGCCUUGUUGAGCCAGAGAAUUCCUUAAGGCCUGAAAUUCGCCACCUCCAUCGGUUUGUAAAGCAAGUAACUUGCAACCAAGAGAUCGUUCUGCUUGUUUAUGAAAAAGCGGGAACACAGUCAGCACUUCAGAUUUUUUCUUUAAAAAAUAAACCCAUGUGUACCUAGUACACGCAUCAGUAAACGCUACAUAAUAACGAAAACCAUUAGAAAGAAUCGGGGCAGGACCCCAAACAUCUGCGAUUAUCAACUGUAAUGGUUUAGAAUACACAGAAGUAGCAUUAGAAAAUGGCAGCUUGCAUUCUUUGCCUAAGUGACAAGCAAUACACGAAACAGAAUCAGUAGCUGAGCUAAAGCCAAUAUUACAUCGUCGUAAUGCCUUCUUAAGCGUAGCAGUACAUGGAUGACCAAGCCUAGAAUGCCAUAGGCUGAGGGGAAGGAGUUUAACACCAGCACAACAGUGAAACUUAGUAGAUACAUCAACUGGAUGAGACGAGCCAGCUGAGUCUAGCUUGUACAGCCCACCAUGCACAGACCCUCGGAGAAGAACCUCAUUGGUUUGAAAAUCUCGAACACGGCACUGUGUAGGCAAAAACUCAAACAUCACUCUAUUAUCUUUAGUAAACUUAGACACCGAUAACAAAUUUUUGGUUAUCCCAGGCACACAUAGCAGAGACUUCAGAAACAGUGAACGUGAUCGAGUACGAAGAGAAGACUGACCAGUUGACCUGAUAGAUAGCGCAUGCCCAUUACCCAUAUACACCUUACCUGAGCCAUUGUACGGUGAACUGUCACUCAAAGUAUUAGGGGAAUUGGUGAGAUGAUGCGAUGCGCCUGAGUCUGGAUACCACGCAUUAUCUGCCACCGUGUCAGGUGUAGCAAUAAGAGCCUGUGAUGGCAUGGACGAUGGCCCUGGAGCAGUUGUGCUGAUAUGCUGCAUGGGACUAGUAGAAACAGGAUUAGACCACAACGGAGUAGGCGUGGGAGAGACAUACCAUUGCUGUUGUGGAUAGGCAGGCAUCCAGGGCUGAGGCGAAACACCAUUGCCUACCAUGCACACAUUUGCCUGAGGGGUGGGAGGUGGUCUAUAGUUUGUACUUUUGUAGGUGGCAUCGCAACGGUAAUAACACCGGUCAACAAGAUGACCAGCCUUCCCACAUAGCUGACACUGAAACCGGGAGCCUGAAGAACGCCCUCGUCCACGACCACGAGAUCCUGAUGAGGGUCGAUAUGCUGGUAAUGAGGGAUUAUCGUCAGUAGAACCAUUAGGUUGAUGUGUAACCAUGUUGGCAGAACUUGGAACAUCAUGAGCAACUAACUGCUGACGUGCUUCAGCAUCGAGUAACAUUAUAGUAACACUCUGAACAUCAUAAGGGAUUGGACUGGCAGUGAUGAUUGUGAGCACUGAUUCAUAUUCAGAGGAUAAGCCAUUGAGAAUGGCUGUAACAUGCUCUCUGUCACUGAUCGUUUCUCCACAGCUAGCAAGGCUAUCACAGUAGCUUUUAAUUUUCAUUAAAAAUUCCUUCAUGGACAAAUCAGCCUUACGCUGUGAAUGCAAUGCCCUCCUAUAGAACAUUAACUGAGAUGUAGUUUUGUUGCCAAACAAUCGAACAAGCGCAUUCCAAAUCUGAAGACUCGUAUCAAGGCCAAUAAGAUGAGGAAGAAUCGUAGGACUCACCGAUGAUAACAACCAUGACGCAAGAGCACAAUCUUGCUGUUCAAAACGAGCAAACUCCGGAUUAUCUUGCGAGCCACUAUCAUUAUCAAGAAGGAACUGAGGAGGAGGAACAAACUGAGGAUCAAGAAACCUCUGAAGUUUAUACGUUUUUACCGAUAACAGAACCUGCUGACGCCACAACAAGUAAUUAUGAUCAUCAAGAAGUACACUGAUCUUCUUGGUAGAGAAAAACCGACUGUCAAUCAUUUCAUCUGGUAGAACAGAUGCCAUUGUUGGUGUAAGAGACUGAACUGCAGAAGGGCUGGAAGUGGAAGUCAGAAAGACUAACUCCGGAACGAACCUACUUCUGAUACCAUGUUAGAUUCUAUAUCAAAGAUAAAAUCUUGAAUACUGUUAGAUCCUAUAUCAAAGAUAAAAUCUUGAAUACAAAGAAGAAAACAAUACAACUCAAAAACCUAUCUUUCUAGGUGCAUAAUGAUGAACUAUAUAAAGAGACUUAUGAAGCUGAUAACUGUAUAUAACUGCUAACAGUUAUUAGCUACUAACAGCAGCAACAAUCUUCUAACAGUUACAACUGAAAGCAACAGACUUUAACAGACUGAAGUUAAUGCGACUUUAACAGACUGAAGUUAAUGCUUAACUCAGUUAUACUCUAACACAUAACAGUUCGUUUAUUAUGUAUUUUAAUAAAAGAGUGUUGGAUCGUCAGAUCUACUAAUUUUCAAUCCAAUCAAUUUAAUUAAUCAACACAAUUCAAUUUCAACAAUAUUAAUUUAUAAUUUCUAGUUGCUAAUAUAAGAAAAUUAAGAUAAAUUAAUUGUUAGGAAAUUUUUAAUUUUUAAGGUAAAUUCAAUUCCUAUUUACUUGGGAGGUUAUCCCAAGUAAUCAAAAUUAUGUGUAAAAUAUUAAAAAUAAUUAAGAAAAAUCAAAAUGAAACAACGUAUGGUAAAAUGAGAAUGGAUAUAUUUAAUAUCUAUAAUGGAAAUAAUAAAUUAUAAAAUUAAAUAUUCAUGAUGGAACGAAAUAGAUAAUAAAAUAAUUAAGAUUUAACAAUAUUUGCUAGGUGUUGUUACAUUUUCUUCCCAGUGGAGAGCAAUGUUAUGUUGCCUUUACUUUUUGGACCAACAAUUGAGAAGUCGCUUUUGUUUGGGAUUUUCUUUUUCCAGAAAUGGUGCAUGAAAGGGUCUGUGAAAAUGGGAAAAUUGGCUAAAUCAUGUGACAGUGUCGGUGGCCCUUAUUUUUGCAAUUAUGAUAAAAUCAUGUUGUAAUAAACAAUUGCAGUCACGUGACAUGCAAUAAGGUGUAAUCUUUCUGUUUUUUUUUUUUUUAUUGCAAGUUUUAAAAGUACGAGUUUGACAUACGAUUACAGUAAAGUAUUUAUAAAUAAAUUGUCUUUUGUGCUCAAUCUUUUAGAAUAUCUUGAAUCUCCGUAAGGGCUAUGGAACGUAUGUAAAACUUCGUCAUUUAAGAGUCAUUGUUCCUAAUGCGUCUAUAAUUUUAUUAUUCUUUUUAGGAAUAUAUCUUAAUGACCAUUUCUUUUCGUUGUUAAAUUCUCUUAAUUAAAGUAGAGGUAGUUUUUUCAGGCUUAUUACCUCUAAUAGCUGCUAUGAUUUUAAUAAUAUCAAAAUGAAUGGUAACAUCAUCGUAUCCUUGUUUUCUAAGUAUGUGUAAGCCGUCCAAUAUGUCUCAAAGCUCAGCAGUUACAACUAAACACUUCUUCAAAAAGUGAUUAUUUCUAGAAUCCAAUUUCCCUUCCCAUCACAUAUUAUCCCACCUGCAGCGGAAAAAUUAGAAAUAAAAUUAACGACACCUUCAGUAUUAUGAAGAAAACCCAUACCUGAUUUCGAACUUUCAAAAGACUAUUGCGGAUCCUUCACCAAGACUUUAUUAUUGACUAAAGAAUAUUGCUUUGCUCAACUGUAAGAAACCUUAAUAAUUUCCUCUAGAUUCAUUGAUUUUCCUUGAAAGAUAACAAGUUACGAUUUUUCCAGAUACGCAAAAGUAUUAUCCCAAAGAAGCAAGCUCAGACCGAAUCUCUCGUAUUAUUAUCUGAUUCUAAAAUAUUACUUUCAAAGAUCCAUUUAUUUUGAUUGGAGGAAAUUAUUUUAGUCCAAAUAUCCUUCGAACGUGAACAGCCCCUAAAAACUAGUAAAACAUCCUCUGUAUGGUGACCACAAAAAUGACAUGACUCAUCAUGACCAAUUCCCGUUCGGACCCUUUCAGAUUUGGUUAAAAGUCUUUGAUAUAGGAUUAUCCAGAUGAACAUGCGACGGUGUACCAACGGAGCUCGUGGAAGAGACAAAAGAAAGAGGGUACAUAGUGGAUUGGGCGCCACAGGAAGAUGUCUUGGCCCAUGGGGCAAUCGGUGGGUUUUUGACUCUUAGCGGAUGGAAUUCGACUUUGGAGAACGUGACAGCGGGGGUGCCUUGCUUUGCUGACCAACAAUUGAACAGUGGUUUGUGGAGGAAGUAUGGAAAUUAGGAUUAGAUAUGAAGGAUGUGUGUGAUAGAAGUGGAGCAAAUGGUGAAUGAUUUAAUGGUGGAAAAAGGGGAGGAGAUUUUGAAAUCAGCUGAUGAAUUUGCUAAAUUGGCUAAAGGAUCUGUGAAUGUUGGUAGGUCUUCGUAUUAUAAUUUGGACUGUCUAAUUGAGGACAUAAGAAUGAUGAAUAAAAAUUGUUAAAAAAGUGAAAUUUUGAGAUCGGGACAACAAAAUGAGGGGCCUUUCCCAUCCCCACUUUUUUUAUUAAAUUAUUUCCUAGGUUCCUGCUAAUUUCGAAUUAAACAAUUUGACCCUAAUUUCUUUAAUUACCUCUUACAUCUUUGUCAACUUUUAAAUUAAUAAUCGUAUUUGUUUGCUUUUAUACUAAUAUAUGAUUUUCAAUUGAUAAGAUAAAAAUAUUAAAAAUUAAUUUAAAUUACUAAUAUCUCGUAUUAAUUGAUACGAGUGAUGAUAAUUAUUAAUAUAAAUCGAUAUUGAUUGAAAUUAAUUAAAACAUAUUAAUUUUUUUAUUAAAAUUGAACUUAAAUUAUUUGGUAUCAAAAUGGUGGGGACUAUUAUCCUUAAUGUUUUAUCUUGAUUCUGUCCUUGCCCGAAGUAGCUAGUGAAGGGGAGUAAAGAUGUUUCGUAUAGGAAAAUUGCUUUAACGAAAAUGGUGAAUGAAAUUGAUGGUUGAAAACAAAGAAGAGAUUGAGAAAUCAGUCGGCGGCCCUUGCUGCAAUUUCGAUUGUUUUAUUAAAAACAUAAAAGAACAUGUUGUAAUUAAUUAACUUGCAGUCACAUGGCAUGCAAUAAAGAUGGAUUUUUUUUAUAUAAAUUAGAUACAAGGUUAUUAAAUAUUAAUAAAUUUAUAUUUUGAUUAAUUAACUAGAUAUAAAAUAAUUACUAAAUUAUUUAAAAGAUUUUAUUUAAGUCAUUAGCUUUAAGUUUGGUUUACAAGCUUCAAACAACAAUUCGACGAAUAAUAUGGUAGAUCAGUAUCCAUUAAGAAAUAGAAGAAUAUAACUUAGAACCAAGUCGACCUGACAAUCAGUGUUGGAAAUCGAAGAAAAAAGUUAUUUGGAUUUUGGUUUGUAAAUAUGAAAAGAAAUUGAACCGUAAAAGAGAAGGGGAAGAAAAGUUUUCAAUUUGUACAAGCGAUGCGAACGGAAAAAACUAUACAAUAACGAUUUUAACUGUUAAGUAACUUAAAUAAAAACUUCGAAUAAUAUUAUUACUAUUUUAUAACUUUAUAAAUUCGAGUGACCAAUAUAUAAUUUAACUAGUAGUUUUUAUUUAUGGUUUUGAAGCCUACAUUAUUUUCAUUCAAGCUUUUGUUCAUUGUUUUGAAGGUUUUAUUUGGUGUAAUAUUUUAAUUAUGCUCAACAAUUUCAAUAAUAUUAUUUACAUUAAUUGCAUGAAAUAAAAAAUUACUUUUAAUGAAAAAUAAAUAAAUAAAAUCGUUCAUUAAUUUAGGUGAGUUGAAAAUAUGUAUUAGAAAACAAAAAUAAUAUUAUAACCAUAUUUUCUCUUAAAACUUAAAAAAAAUUAAAACAAAAUUAAUUUACCUAUAUAUAAAUUUUAGCCCCAAUAAAUUAUAAUACAACUUUUAAAUAAAUUCUUUAGAUUUUUUUUUUAACAAUUUGUCAUAUUCAGAAAAUAAAUAUCACAUCAAGCACUUUAAAAAAAAAGAUAGAAUGUAAUAAUCUAAAAAAGAAAGGGAAAGUUAUUAAGAAUAUAAGCAAGUGCGCCACACAUCCAAUCACAUGUCUUUUACGAAAAGAGUAAUGAAACCAUAACAAGUGGUAUCAAAGCAAUCCUUGACUGUCCAAUUUCACAAUAAGCAUCUCAAAAAGUGGGAUGACAUAGUGGAUCAACUGUGACACAGUAGCUUAUAACUAAGACGUCACGAGAUUAAAUGGGAGAAAAUGUCCCACCAAACACUUUAAAUUAAAGUAGGCAAGAUGCAAUAAUUCCACAUUGGAAUGGAUGUGGAAAAUAAGGUCAUCGAGGAUAGGUACAUGGGCGUAGCUAGAGGAGCUGAAAAGGGCCUUAAUUCCCCUAAAUUGAACUUUUUUUCGUGUAGGUCUUUUAAAUUUUUAAAUUAUAAGAGAUAAUAUUACAUUUUAACCCCAUAAAAAUGAUAAAAUUUUAAUUUAAUUUUUAAAAAUUAUAAAAAUAUAAACUAUUAAAAAUAAUAAAAUUAUAUUUUUAUUAUUAUAAAAAUUAUAAUUUAAUUUCAGGCAUGCUUUACCCUUGGAUAGAUAAGAGCCUAACUGGUUUCCUAAGAACGAUAAAUAUAUCAUUUAUUUCUUAACUUAUAAAUUAAUAUAAUGGUGAAAUUAGACAACAUUCUCCGCCCUAUCCAAAGACAUCUUUUGGCCACUAAAUAGCUUCCAAAUUGUCGACUCUUAAGCACAUAAAACUCAAAAAGCCCCUCAAAACAGAUCCUCCAAUUAGAUGGAGCAGGAUCGAUCCUCUCAAUCCCGUCCUCCACAUGUCCUCGUCUUCCCCCUCCCAAUACAAGGCCAUAUAAACUCCAUGAUUAAGCUGGCUGAACUGCUAGCUAUCGCUGGCUUCAAGCUCACUUUCCUCAACUCCCACCACAACCAUGAACGCUUGGUCAAGUUCAACAAUAUUGCUGCCCAUUUUGAAAGAUACUCAGGGUUCCAAUUCAAGACCAUAACCGAUGGUCUCCCUCUUGAUCAUCCUAGGUCAGGGAACUGGUUCCUUGAUAUGUUUGAAGAUACCAUGGAACCUAAGAUGAAGGAAAGUUUGAGAGAGGUACUUGUGAAUAGUAGCCCGCCAGUGGAUUGCAUAAUUGGAGAUGGGUUUUUAGGCUUUGCUCUUGAUGUUGCAAAGGAGCUUGGAAUCCCCAUUAUUUUUUUUCGUACCAGCAGUCCUUGUUGUUUCUGGGUGUAUUAUUCUAUACCUGAUAUAAUCCAAGCUGGGGAGCUUCCUAUCAAUGGUAAAUCCACUUCUUUUUCAUCAACUUUGUUUAUUGUACCAUGUUUAGCACUGUUUUUAAUUUAGAAUAACACAAACCCUUAAGUCGAAAUGAUUUGACAAGCAUGUUGCAGAAAUUAACGAGAAAGACAUUUGGAAUAUUACUGUUAAUUAGGCGAGUUGAUUUGGUUUAAGUUGGAUUAAUUCGGAAUUUAAAAAUUUUAAAUCAUUUGAUGUUCGAUUGAUUUUGAAUUUUAAUUUUUGAAAGAGGUUUGGAUUGUUUCGGAUUCAAAUCACUUUGGGUUCUUGUCAUUUAGAUUUACCAAUUUGACUUUUAAAUUCAAGUUAUUUUGAAUCAUUCUAUUUACAGGUCACUUUAGGAUAAUUAGUUGGGUUUUUGUGUCCAUUUAUUUUAGGUUUGAGUCAUUCUGAUUACAAAUCAUUCCAGAUUGAUGGGUUUUUUAAGUUGAGUCAUUUCAGGAUUUUUUUUCAUUUAGGUUUAAUACUUAAGUUUGGACCACUUUGGUAACUUGUUCCUGUUGUUUUUAAGUUCGAGUCUUUCGAAGUUGCGAUCAUAUUUGGGUUUAGAUCAUUUCAAGUUUGAGUUGUUAAAUUUCUAUAAUUAAAUAAAUUUGAAUCUGAUAUGAGUUUGAAUUAAUUGGGUUUGUGGUCAUUGACACUAGUAAAUGGGUUUUUGUUAAACAAUUGAAGGAAGUGAAGACAUGGACCGGCUAAUAACGACAGUGCCAGGCAUGGAAACUUAUCUUCGAUGUCGAGAUCUGUUGCGCGGAAGCGUGUGAAAGAGUAAAAUUAUUGUACUGAAAAAUCACACUAAGUUCAAUUCCCAGGAAAGAGAGGUGGAUCACGAGGAUCGCUUACAUACCAGAUCUUUCCUAGCCAGAAUAUCCCUCUAUCGUAAUUUAAUAGCACAAUAAAUCACUACAAUGACACUUGCAAAAUAUGCAGAACAAAAAAUAAAGAACACUAGAAUUUUAAUGAGGUUCAGCAAAUUUUGCCUACGUCCUCGGGCACUACCAAAUAUAUUUCACUCCAAAAAUACAAGCGAAAGUUUACAAAUAAGGAGAGAGAACAAUUGCCUUAAGUAGAGAAUGGCAAGUGUGGGAUGAAGAAAGUAAGAGAUGGUUAGGCCUAUUUAUAGUUGAGGUUUAAGGAUCAACUUGCAAUGUCCCUAUACAAUUAGGGACCAAAAUUGCAAUUAUCCCAUGCCAACUUUUAACCCAACUUGCCAACCAAUCUUACUUUCUACUUUCGGUGCCAACUUUCUGCCACUAUUCAUCUUUGAAAAGUCAAAGAUUGUAGGUAUCCAAUAAUCUCCACCUUGAAGAUUUGAUUAGGAUAAUCUUAUCUUCACACAAUUCUUUCUUCCUUUGACAACAAUACUUGAUAGUGCCUUCUUCAACUGUUAAACUUGCAGGAUAUUGAUCAAGUUCAAACAAUGUUCGAACUUGGUUGUUGUUACCACCUUGGUCAUCAUAUCUGCGGGAUUAUCUGCAGUCUUGAUCUUCUGAAGACAAAUUUUCCCUUCUUCAAUAAUUUCCCGCACAAAAUGGAAUCGUACGUCGAUAUGUUUUGUACGUGCAUGAUAGACUUGAUUCUUUGCUAAAUGAAUAGCACUUUGACUAUCACAAUACACGUUAAUAUGCUCCUGAACCAACCCCAAGGUUUUAGCCAUACCUUGUAACCAAAUAGCCUCCUUUACAGCCUCUGUUACAGCCAUGUAUUCGGCUUCUGUGGUUGACAAUGCAACUGUAGACUGUAGUGUAGACUUCCAACUUAUUGGUCCUCCAGCAAGUGUAAACACAUAACCGGUGGUUGAUCUUCGCUUGUCCAAAUCACUGGCAUAGUCAGAAUCAACGUACCCAAUAACACCUUUACCAAGUGUAUUAUCCUGCUUGAACAGUAAUCCAACAUCCACGGUCUUCUGAAUAUACCGUAGAAUCCAUUUCACAGCUUGCCAAUGUCUUUUUCCAGGAUUAUGCAUAUACCUGCUCACUAUACUAACUGCCUGUGAAAUGUCGGGUCUUGUACACACCAUUGCAUACAUCAAGCUACCCACUGCAUUAGAAUACGGAACUUGCAACAUGUAUUCUCGUUCCGUAUUCGUCGAAGGAGAUAGUUGUGCAGAAAGCUUGAAAUGAGAAGCCAACGGGGUACUUACAGGUUUGGUUUGCUUGUUCAUGCCAAACUGCUGUAGUACUUUCUUCAAAUACUGCUUCUGAGACAAGCUAACUCUGCCAUGAGCUCUAUCUCUACAUAUUUCCAUGCCAAGAAUCUUCUUAGCUUCACCUAGAUCUUUCAUCUCAAACUCGAGAUUGAGUUGAGUCUUCAAUCUCUCAAUCUCAACUUUGCUCUUAGAUGCUAUCAGCAUAUCAUCAACAUAUAAGAGCAAGUAUAUGAAAGUUCCUUCUUGUAGCUUCUGAAAAUAUACGCAAUGAUCAAAUUUACUUCUUGUGUACCUUUGCCCUUUCAUGAACUGAUCAAAUCGCUUGUACCACUGCCUCGGAGAUUGUUUCAAUCCAUAAAGCGACUUUGUCAAUUUGCAAACCCAAUUUUCUUUAUCAGCAACAUUGAAUCCAUCAGGCUGAGUCAUAUAGAUUUCCUCUUCCAAAUCACCGUGUAAAAAUGCUGCCUUCACAUCAAGCUGAACUAGUUCAAGAUCGUAUUGCGCAACCAAGGCUAGCAAAAUUCGAAUAGAUGAAUGCUUCACAACUGGAGAAAACACUUCAUUGUAGUCUAUUCCUUCUUUCUGAGCGUAACCCUUUGCUACCAAUCUAGCCUUGUAUCGAAUUUCAUUUUUACCAGGAAAUCCUUCCUUCUUUGCAUAUACCCAUUUGCAUCCAAUUGCCUUCUUUCCCUUGGGCAGUCUCACCAACUCCCAAGUCCUAUUUUUAUGAAGAGACUGCAUUUCUUCAUUCAUAGCUUGCUUCCACUUUACACCAUCAGAGUUACUUAUUGCUUCUGUGUAAGUGGAAGGAACAUCAUCAUCUGUAAUUGGAAGUGCAUAGGCCACCAUAUCAUCAAAGCGAGCAGGCUUACGAAUCUCUCUUCUUGGCCUCCUAUAUGCAAUUGAAUCUUGCUGCUGUAGAAGUUCUUGGGUCGAAACUUCUUCAUCAUUUGUUCUUUCAAUAUUAGCUGGAUCAUCAUUAACCUUUUCAAACUCCACCUGCUGCAAAGUACUACUGGUUUUGUCAUCCUUUUGUGAAUCCUCGUUCUUCAUCAUGGUUGAUUCAUCAAAAGUUACAUCUCUACUGAAAACAAUCUUCCUUGUAUCAGGACACCAGAGACGGUAUCCUUUUACACCACCAGUUAUACCCAUGAAUAAUGCUUUCUUUGCUCUUGGGUCUAACUUAGAUUCUUUUACAUGAUAAUAUGCAGUGGAACCAAAAACAUGUAAAGAAUCAUAAUCAGUAGCAGGUUUACCAGUCCACAUCUCCAUAGGAGUUUUUCCAUUUAUUGCAGCUGAUGGCAAUCGGUUAAUUAGAUGGCACGCAUAUGUAACUGCCUCAGCCCAAAAUUCCUUGCCCAAUCCAGCAUUGGACAACAUACAUCGAACUUUCUCCAGUAUAGUCCGAUUCAUGCGUUCUGCCACCCCAUUCUACUGUGGUGUAUCUCGAACAGUGAAGUGUCGCACAAUGCCUUCAUCUUGACAUACUUGUAGAAAUGGAUCAUUUUUGUACUCAGUACCAUUAUCUGAUCGAAGUCGUUUGACCUUUCGACCUGUCUGAGUCUCCACCAUAUUCUUCCACUUCAGAAAUGCAUCCAAAACUUCAUUUUUUCUUUUCAUUAGAUACACCCAUACUUUUCUUGAAUAAUCAUCAAGAAAAGUGACAAAAUAGUGCAUACCUCCCAAAGAAGCCACUUUGGUAGGUCCCCACACAUCACUGUGAACAUAGUCUAGAAUUCCUUUCGUAUUGUGAAUUGCUGAACCAAAUUUUACCCUCGUCUGCUUGCCCAGAACACAAUGUUCACAGAAUUCCAAUUUGCAAGAAUUUGCACCUUUCAACAAGCCUUGCUUCGCCAAAGUCUGCAAAGCUUUUUCACCAGCAUGUCCCAAUCGCAUAUGCCAUAAUCUGGUAGCCUCUGAAUCUACAUCUUUUGUAGAAACUGUUGAUGUUGAUCCAAUAACUGUACUUCCAUUUAAAAAAUACAAGUUAUUUCUUCUUGUGCCUUUCAUCACCGUCAGUUGCCCAGCUACUACUUUUAGUAAUCCAUCUCUCAAAGUGAUUGUGAGCCCUUUAGAUUCUAGGGCACCUAAUGAGAUGAGAUUUUUCUUCAGGCUAGGUACGUAGCGAACAUCUGUCAAGACUUGGAUUGAGCCGUCGUGAUUCUUCAAUUGGACUGUACCCACUCCCAUUGUCUUACAAGCACUAUCAUUGCCCAUAAGAACAAUUCCACCUUCUAGCUCUUUAAGACUAGAAAACCAGUCCUUAUUAGGACACAUAUGGUAAGUACAUCCUGAAUUCAAAAUCCACUCAUCCGUUUGACAUGCCAUUGCCAUGCCAACCAAGCUAAAGUCUGACUCCUCAUCAUGCUCCGCUACACAUGCAUUAGAAAUAGCCUUGCCCUUUUGUAGCUUAGGACAAUUCUUUUUUCAAUGCCCUUUUUCACGGCAAAAGGCACAUUCAUCUUUGGCGGGUCUCCCUUUGGACUUUCCCCUUCUACCAGAUUUGCUGCUGUGUGAACGACCUCUUACUGUUAAGACUUCUGCGGUUGUAUCUCUGUGAUCUCUUUUAUCUUUCUUUCGAGUCUCAGGUCUAUACAAUGCACUACAGACUGCAUCAAAUGUGAUCGUGUCCUUCCCAUGAAGCAAUGUGGUGGUAAGAUGAUCAUAUUCAUCAGGAAGGGAAUUCAACAACAAUAAUGCCUUGUCUUCAUCUUCAAAUUUCUCAUCCAAAUUUAGCAAGUCUGCUAAAAUUUUAUUGAAUGAGUUCACAUGGUCAUUCAUCGACAUACCGGGUGCAUACGUGAAUUGAUAAAGUUUCUUUUUCAUAUAAAGCCUAUUUUCAAGACUUUUCGUUAGAAACUUUUCUUCCAGUGUAUCCCAUAACUUCUUCGCUGAUGUCUCCCUCAUGACAGAGUACUUCUGCUCUUUGGCCAAACAUAGGCGGAUUGUACCACACGCCUGUCUAUUGAUCUUGGCCCACUCCUUGUCAUCCAUCUUGUCAGGUUUUUCUUCAAGGGCUAUAUCUAGCUCUUGCUGACAUAAGACAUCCAGGAUCUCACAUUGCCACAUACCAAAAUUAUUGGUACCGUCAAAUUUCUCUACUUCAAAUUUUGCAUUUGUCACAGUAGUCCUUGCUGAUGACGAUGCUGCUGCCAUUUUUCUCCUCAAUCCCAACUACUGUAUACGUGAAUAGUACCGUAUACGUGAAUAGUGCCGUAUACGUGAAUAGUGCCGUAUACGUGAAUAGUACCGUAAACGGUCGUAUUCCCCAAGUACGAACCUGGCUCUGGUACCAAUUGUUGCGCGGAAGCGUGUGAAAGAGUAAAAUUAUUGUACUGAAAAAUCACACUAAGUUCAAUUCCCAGGAAAGAGAGGUGGAUCACGAGGAUCGCUUACAUACCAGAUCUUUCCUAGCCAGAAUAUCCCUCUAUCGUAAUUUAAUAGCACAAUAAAUCACUACAAUGACACUUGCAAAAUAUGCAGAACAAAAAAUAAAGAACACUAGAAUUUUAAUGAGGUUCAGCAAAUUUUGCCUACGUCCUCGGGCACUACCAAAUAUAUUUCACUCCAAAAAUACAAGCGAAAGUUUACAAAUAAGGAGAGAGAACAAUUGCCUUAAGUAGAGAAUGGCAAGUGUGGGAUGAAGAAAGUAAGAGAUGGUUAGGCCUAUUUAUAGUUGAGGUUUAAGGAUCAACUUGCAAUGUCCCUAUACAAUUAGGGACCAAAAUUGCAAUUAUCCUAUGCCAACUUUUAACCCAACUUGCCAACCAAUCUUACUUUCUACUUUCGGUGCCUUUCGGUGCCAACUUUCUGCCACUAUUCAUCUUUGAAAAGUCAAAGAUUGUAGGUAUCCAAUAAGAUCUUCCUACUUUUUCUCGAAGACUGGACAUUGAAGAUUCAAUUAUCAAGCUAGUCGUAAAACAGACACGAAAGAGCCUUCAAGCCGAUGCCUUGAUACUCAACACCGCCGAAGAGCUCGAUGGGCCUAUACUAUCUCAAAUACGCACCAAAUGCCCUCGUGUCUAUGCCGUUGGACC